GGCCUAGGCACCCAUUUUAGCUCAGCCCCGCGAAUGAGACAAGAAAAGUCCAGGCCUCAGGAACUCCAGUCUUGCUGGGGAGGAAAAUCAGCCCCGUCAUUUUGCACAAGUCGUGCUGCCCGGGGACGCCCGAGGACGGACAGCCAGGACACCUCCUCAUGGCCACCACCCCUAUGAGAUCACACUGCCGGAGCCACCCAGGGCCUUGGCACCCGAUCGCAGUCUUCCUUCUCCCAAACGCCUGCAUGUCCCGGGGGGACGUCGGCAUCCUCGUCCACGUCUUCCCUUUUAUUACCAGGAGUAAUAUUAACAGUUCGCUGAGCUUCAUGCCGAGCACAGCAGAUUUGGAGAAAGCCCUAAGAACCAGCAGCAUAAAGUCAUAGAAUGCUGGAACUGGGGGAGAAACCUUUAUUUGCUCCAAGUUAAUAAACACGUAUGGGGGAUCUCCUAGGUCUUGGGGAUUCAAAAGCACACUGUUCCAGUCUUCAGGGGCUCAGUCCCCACUCCACAGCAAUGAUGAGAACUUGGCCAAUGAAUAACGGUUGUAUGAGGUUAGAGUGGGCUCUGGUUAACUCUUUUGGGGUGGGGAGAGAACCA